GCCUGGGUAGCUCAGUCAGUUAAGCGUCUGACUCUUGAAUUUGGUUCAGGUCAUGAUCAGGUUCAUGGGUUCGAGCCCUAUAUCAGGCU
rnacentral:tRNA from 1 species